GUGCUUGCUUCGGCAGCAUGCAUACUAAAAUUAGAAUGAUAUAGAGAUUAGUAUGGCUCCUGUGCAAAGAUGAGAUGCAAACUCAUAAAGCAUUCAUAUUUUAU